UCGAGCGAAUCGAUGGGAGCCUGCUCCCUGAGACAAGCGGCGGACGGGUGAGUAACACGUGGGCAACCUGCCUAUAAGACUGGGAUAACUUCGGGAAACCGGAGCUAAUACCGGAACGUCUCUUUUCUCGCAUGAGAGAAGAUGGAAAGACGGUUUACGCUUUGUCACUUUAUAGAUGGGCCCGCUGGCUGCAUUAGCUAGUUUGGUGAGGUAAUGGCUCACCAAGGCGACGAUGCGUAGCCGACCUUGAGAGGGUGAUCGGCCACACUUGGGACUUGAGACACGGCCCAGACUCCUACGGGAGGCAGCAGUUAGGGGAAUCUUUCCGCAAUGGACGAAAGUUCUUGACGGAGCAUCGCCGCGUUGAACGAAGAAGGCCUUCGGGUCGUAAAGUUUCUGUUGUUAGGGAAGAACAAGUUCCAGAGUUACUUGCU
rnacentral:rRNA from 1 species